GACCAAGGUUCGACUUGAGCGCCAGCGAGAGAGCGUUGCCGCAGGCAACGACCCGAAGGGCGAAGCGCGCAGCGCUGAGUAAUCCUUCCCCCACCACCA
rnacentral:sRNA from 2 species